UGUAGCAGGAACUACAUUCUAAGUCAGCUGAUUUCCACUCACAAGAGUAUUAGGUUUUUACAUAUUCUAGUGCACUUGCAUUAUUAGUUAAUUGACCUUGAGCUUUUAUUUUAUUAAGUUAUAUUUAAGGAAUAAUUCGCGCUAAUGAUUGAUAGGCUUGCUAUGCUACACACAUGUUUCUCUUUCACAAUUACCUCCCAGUUAGCUUAAAAAUUGGAACAUUUAGCAGUGAUUAGCAGCUGAUUGAGCUAGUUGUUUCACAACAAAUAAAUUGUUGAUGCAUUAUUAUUAACUAUUACAACAACGUGGAAACCGGGGAAAUGGAAAAAAUUGCUAAAGUCUUAUGUGUACUGGUCCUGCAGAUGUGGGUGAUAUUCAGUCCCGACUAUUUGACCACAGACCAGUCGUCAAUGCAGAGAUCCGCUACUUUGUGAGAGAGUUUGAGGAGAAGCGUGGGCACAGGGAGAGCAGACUGCUGGAGAAUCUCAAUAAAGCAGUGGUGGAAACAAAUGAGCAUAUGCAGCAGACAGAUUUUGAGAGUAUGAACCAGCAGCUGUCUGAUGUCAUUAAACGAUUGGAAGCUGCUAAUCACAUGGCAGAGAGAGUCCAGCAGAGGGAGCUGGAGGCACAGCAGAGCACCCAGCUGCAAGUGAACAUGGAGCGUUUGAAAGAUGAGUGGGCAGAGUUUUUGAAAGAACAGCAGAAAUUAAAGGAAGCAGUGGAUGAGGAGCACGCUAUGGCUGUAAGAGAACUCAGUACCCAGUACAGCAAAAUGAAGAAGGACCUGACCAAGUUUUCACCCAUCUAAUUAGCUACUGUUUGUGAGGGUGUGAGUGAACAAACACACUGUAUGAACGCUUCUGUUUAUUACAGACAUCUACAUCUGUUUUGCACAUGAGGCAUGAAGCUAUUGGCUUUGAUUGAGUACUUGGUGAUUGACAGAAGAAGAACAUAAAGCUUAUAGGUUUUGCUCCUGCGCGGGAGUCAACAUUUUCCAAAUUGUAGAUAUGUAAUAUGAAUAACGGUAUGGAAAUUUCACAGGCCAUCAGAAUCUCAGUAUUCAGUCUUUAGCCCAUGAAAUUUGAGGUCUGACAAAUGUUAUUUUUAAAUAACCAAUCACUUGAUUCUUUGCCUGUGAAAUUUUAAACAUAAAAUAAAAUAAAUUUGCAUCAGGCUCAAGCUGAGCGAAACUCUGACGAGAUAUUGUAUUCAAAGCAAGGAAAACUAGACAGUUAAAUGUUGGAACAGCACUUCUGAGCAGGUGUGUUUAAAGAACAGGUCAAGCAUUGCAGAAACAAACAAAACAGUUUCAUGAGCAAAUCAUCCAUCACCAGCUCUCCUCUCUAAUUUCAAGCCGCUUUUGGUGUAAAAUGCUCAGCACAAGCUGUUUUUUGUUUGUUUUGCCACCUCAAAUUGAAUUUUAAUGAGUCACAGAUACUGUCAUUUAAGCAGAAAAACAGAUUUUUGUCUUCUGGAAUUUCCUUCUGGUCAUGUAUACAUAAAAACAUUUUCAGUGGCUGGCGAGCAUAACGUGUUUAAAAUGCACAGACUGCUGAACACAAACUCUAAAUGAUCAUUUCCAUUUUGCUUAUGUUUGCAUAAGGAACAUACAGACAGGUGUCAAAUUAAGGGAAAAAACCUGAAUGAGUGGUGUCUUUCAGGAUGACAGUACCCUGAUUCAUAAGGUAUGGUUUGAUGAAGAUGAAAAUGAUGUGAAUCAUAUGCUAUGGCCCAGUUGAACACCUAAGGGAGAUUUUGGAGCAACGUGAUCAA